rnacentral:rRNA from 1 species
AUGUCGUCCGACGGCGGGGGCUCCCAGAUGGGCGUCGCCGGCGCGCUGGGCCUCUCGGUCACGUCGUCAGUAGCCAUUGUUAUUUGCAACAAGUACCUCAUGAGCACCCUUGAGUUCUACUUCGCGACGACACUGACGAGCUGGCACUUGCUGGUGACCUUCUGCACGCUUCACAUAGCGCAGCGCCUGCGCUUCUUCGAGCCGAAGCCAAUCGACGCGCAGACUGUCAUCUCCUUUGGGUUUCUCAAUGGAAUCUCCAUUGGCCUCCUCAACCUUUGCCUUGGCUUCAACUCAGUUGGCUUCUACCAGAUGACCAAGCUGGCUAUUAUACCCUUCACCAUGCUCUUGGAGACCAUCUUUUUGAGCAAGAAGUUCAGCCAGAGCAUCAAGGCCUCUCUCAUGGUCCUCCUCCUGGGAGUUGGCAUCGCAUCGGUCACUGAUCUCCAGCUCAAUCUCCUCGGCUCAAUCAUCGCAGUGCUCACCAUCGCUGCGACCUGUGUCUGCCAGAUCCUGACCAACCAAAUCCAGAGGAGGCUCAAGGUGUCUUCCACUCAGCUACUGUACCAGUCCUCCCUGUACCAAUCCGCUGUGCUGCUCAUCACCGGCCCCUUCGUCGACAAGCUCCUGACAAAGAAGGACGUCUUCGCGUUCGAGUACACAUUCGAAGUCGUGGUGUUCAUCCUGAUGUCGUGCGGGAUCGCGGUGAGCGUCAACUUCAGCACCUUCCUGGUGAUCGGCACGACGUCGCCAGUGACGUACCAGGUGUUGGGCCACCUCAAGACGUGCCUCAUCCUCUCCUUCGGCUACGUUCUCCUCAAAGACCCCUUCACGCUCCGCAACCUCGCCGGCAUCCUCAUCGCCAUCUUCGGCAUGGGCCUCUACUCCUUCUUCUCCGUCUCCGAGAGCAGGAAGAAGACCGAGGGCGCCACGUUGCCCGUCAACACCCAGAUGAGCGAGAAGGAUUCGGCACCGCUCCUUGGCACGAAAACCUCGCCGUGGCAGGAGAGCAACGGGGUGGAGAACUUUGACGACGUGCCACGGACGGCGAAGAGCGCGUUUAGCCGGCAGCUGAACCCGUAG